ensembl:lncRNA
GGCCAUUGGGAGGAAUGGGGUGCUGGUUCGCAUGGCUUUUGGCAGGGAUGGGAUCAGGGUGCUGCACUGGCGAUCAUGGGGAGCGGUGGGUUCAGGGUACUCUGGUGGGGGGCUCUGAGGAGGGUAAGAAGUGGGGCACAGAUGUGGGUGCUCAUGGGGAGGGGUGAGGUCAGGUCCUGCUCUGCCCGGCCAUCAGCAGGGGUGCCAUUGGGGUGCAGGUCUGUGUGGGGCAGGAUGGCUGUGGGCCCCACCUCUUCCCCCUCAGCUUGCUGGAGGGUGGGUGAGAAACCUUUCGUGGUUUCUCUUCCUUGUGGCCGUGCGAAGGUGGUCCAAGUCCAGACUUCUGCUGGGCAGCAGAGCAGGAGAGCUGCCCAAAUUCCAACCCAGAGAAUACAAAGGGCCCCAUGCAGUGCUGUGGCUCUGGGGAGAACGAGCUGUCCCGGAGUGGUGGGACGUGUCCAGGGGCCACGGCGGGCUGCAGCCCCUCACCUUGUGUCCCUCACAGCUGCCAUUCUCUGGGGCCUGCCCUAACCGCGGCCAGGGUGGGCGCCAAUGGCCAACGCUCACUAUGGGAGGAGCCCUUCCUGCUCCUCGCGUGGCUGUGCUAUUUGCACUGUGACCACCGCCCACCCCGGCGGUCCCACCAGGCCACCCAGAGGGCCCUGGGGACGCUGCCCCACGUGCACCCCGCUAGGAAGCCUCUAGAUCCUGGGCACCGUUUCCUCUGACGCGUUCCUUCCCCCCAUCCUCUCCUGGCCUUGCGAGUGUCUGCAGGGCACCGUGCAUGCACUUAAAGUGUGUUCCUGGGUGAGGCUGUGGUCACUGGAAGCCCUUCCCAAAGCGACCCCCACAAGGCCACGUUCCAGCCUCCGGGUUGGAGGGCUGCUUCUCACACGGGCAGCUGAGCCGGAGGUCCGCAUGGAGUUCCAGCAGAAGUCCCAGAGAGUGUCCCUACUGCCUUCCCUUCCGUUCCCACUGGGAACAGCAGCGCGUCCGGUGCCUCCAACAGCUCCAAGGAUGGCCUCCCUGACGCCCCCUGAGCGCAAGGAGUUGUGGCUCUGCCAGUGCCUUUGUGCCCUGCCCACAGGGGAGGGGGCUCGGGGGGUGGCACCUGCAGCCACGAGGACUCCAUCUCCUGGCCGAGCAGAGGUGGUGAGGAGGGGAGCUGCGGCCUGGCGUGCAGUGUGGCUGCAAUAUGGGUGGCACCGCGCGGGACAUCACCGGGCUGUCAGCUCAGCACGGGCACAUGGCUGUCCAAAGAGGUUCCAGGCACAGAUAAGACGUUCAGUUGGGAUUUGCGCCUCAGGGGACCAGCGGGGACAUUUAAGGGCAGCGUGCGCGGCCAUUAUUAGUGCUUUUGGCUGUCAGCUUCAGCGUGUCCUCACAGACUGCCUCAAUGGCACCAAGCUCAGUGAGGGCCGCUGGGCCCCGGUGCGGCCUGCAGCCCUGCUCCCCAUGGGGUGCUGCCCUGAAGGGAGGCAGGGCGAGCAGAUCCAGGUGCCCUCGGGGGCUGGGAGCUACAGAGCAGCCCUGCCUGGGGGUCACACAGCCGUGGGAGGGGUCAGGUUUGGGUGGGGGUCCACACUUCCCCCACUUCCCAUAUCCCAGAGCUGGGUGUCACAGGCCUUGUGGGACUCGAUGCAGUCAUUUCCCUCUAUUAUUGGAGCUUUUUUAUCAGUGAGUUACGAGUCCUUUGCCACCGGCAGUGGCCUGAGCGCUAUACGAUGUACAAAGAAAAGGCAGCUCUGGUGCCAAAGUGCUUAUUGUUCAAAAUGCAGAUUUUUUUUGUUUUUCUUUUUUUCCCUUCAAAGCAAACCAAUAGACGGAAAACCAGAUGAAAAAACAGUGGGAGCCCAGAGACGAGAGAGAAGGAUUUACUUUGUUAUUUAACCUGGGAUCUGCUGCGCUGUGCUCAGCAGCCUGCCCUAAGGAGCCUGCCUUGGGUGGGGUUGGGCUGGGGGAUCUGCAGAGCUUCCUUCCCACCCCUGAAAUCCUGUGAUUCCGUGGUUCUGUCUUCUCCAGGCACCCCUUGAAAUGGAGCCCUGGCAGAGAUCGUAGAUUGGUUUGAGUUGGACGGGACCCUGAAAAGCCAUCUGGUCCCACUCCCCUGCAAUGGGCAGGGUCACCCACAGCUCCUUCAGGAUGCUCAGAGCCUGGUCCAUUUCUGAGUGCUUCAUUGUUUUUAACGUGCCGCAGAAUUCUGUGUCGCCAACUCACGAGUGCAGAUGUUGUUGUGGACCGGCAGGAGCUAUUGGCAGUUGGGUCUUUUCCCACCUCCGAAGACAUGUGAAGCAAUUUGGAUCCAUGCGACGCUAGCUGAAUUGUGCUGUUAACAUGAUAAGUGGCGUUACAAGUGAGAGCAUUAGACAAAAAUUCACAUCUUUGGGAUCCUGAAUGUGUCUGUUAGCUGUAUGUCUCCAAAGAAAUUUUGUCACCCUGUCUGCAGGCUUUAAUAACACAACAGCAAAGUACUAGACUGUGUUUGGUUCAGGUUUGGGGCUACGGUUGCGUUCUUUUUCAUUGCUAUAAAAAUCCAGCAAAAUCUGGCCUUACCAUAAACCUGUGAGAAGUUGAGCGUGCACGUGUUCUGUAGAUACUCCCUAUGCAUUUGCAGAUAAACCCUUUGGAAACGCUACCAAGGUAUUUGAAACGCACAGGCCUAUCAAUGCUGUGAAGCGCAGUGUUGCCACAAGAACCGGUGCCAUGGCAGAAGUCGAGAGGAAGCUGCUCAUUCCGGCAUGCCCAGCCUGCACGCCAUGCCAUCCUUCAGUCUUGGAGCUGCAUGUCAACCAGGAUGACAAAAGCAGUGAUGGAACGGCAGCUUGCUUGGGGGGCUGUGCAGGGGACCAUGGGCCCUCUGGAGAAAAACAGCAAGCGAGGAGGUCGUUAAUGCUGGGGGAGCAGUCUGCAACUGCGGCCCUGGUGCUGUCCUUCCCAGUGCCAGCAGUGAGAGCCAAGGCAGGAGGGAGCUGUGCCUGUGAGUCCCGAUGGUGAGAGCUCUGCGUGAACCACCUUGGAGCCCGGACAGCUGUUAUGAUAGACCUCUAUUCUGAGCUGUUUGUCUGGUGAGUCACUUUUAAAGGAACAAGGCUGAAACCACAUUGCUGCUAAUGACUCCUUCCACGGGUGUGGCUUCCCUUUGCUUGAGUACGCUUGAAGUCAUGCGCAGUGAGAGGUGUUUUCAGGGACCGGCUUAUUUUUGGCACUGAAUUUAGAACAGGGCCAUGUUCUGCCCAGAAGUUCACACCUUGCAACUGGCUCCCACCCACCCUUCACUUAUUUACCAUUCCGUUUUGAAAAUGGACCGAGGACUACAGACCACACAUGCCUAUGAGAUGCUGCACUUCAUUCAUGAUGGUACUUCAGAUACUGAGUGUUGAACCCCCAGAACAGGAGAGCAAGUCAGUAAUUUGCACCAGGUCAACUUGAUUAUUUUCUGAUUAUUUUCGUCCCGCUAAUCCUGUCGAUUAAAGAGAGGUGAUCCAGAGCUGUCAGUAAUCUUUGGGGAUGAAGCACGGGUGGAGCAAAGUUGAGCUUAGUGAAAUCUACCGGAUAGACCAAAACAGCACCAAACUGUUUGGUUCUCACCCCCACUGACUCUCUCUUAAAAAAUACAUGUAGGAAGAUUGAGCAUAGAAAACAUUUAUCAUUUCAGCGCAACUUCUCCUAUAUCUCUUUGUGCCUCCUUGUUAAACAGUGCUUUGCUCUCUGGAAACAAGGCGAAAAACAAGGGGACAGAAUAAAGUUGGGGUACUUGAAUUUGUGACUUAAUUACGUCGUCAUUACCAGAGCGGCUUCCCUAGAUGUGUGCAGGACUGUGUGAUACAUCCUGAGGAACGCGUCCCAGUCCUGUGAGGUACCUGGUGAAAUCAUUUCAAGUAUCUACUGCCGACUUUGCUGGGAAUAAAGAUGCCUUGGGAGACUCACUGCACCCAGCCCAGCCACGGAAACAGCAAUUGUGCCUUCGCCUCUCUCUGUUCUCAAAUACAAGCAGUUUGUCACCAAAGUGGUGCUUGAAGUAACUUCACUAAUUUCAGUACGGUUUAACCGAGAGCAGGUUUCAUCUGCUGCCUCCGAAAUAUUAGUUUGUGGAUUCCCGUGGAAAGAUAAAACAGGAGGGAGAAAAAUAUUCUCCUUCACUUGUGUGAAUUCCUACUAAAACAUCAUUUACUUUCUUGUUCCCUAGUGGAAGAGCAUGCUUGAUUUCAAUUAAAAUGAAAUGUCAUCAUUUUGGGACGUGCUGCAUAGUUUUAACAAAUACGCCUUGUGUUCAUCCAUCAGGGAGAAGAUGUUGGAUUUGUAUAAAGGCCAACAGCAUCUGAUAUUUACCCCGGAAUUCAGGAACACGUCCAGGUCAUUAUCCUGUAUGAUUUCUAGUUGGUGUCUUUCAGGCUGUAGCCUUUUUCUAACAGUUACCAAACUAAGAGACUCAUUAUACCUAAUCUUCGCAGGCCAGAUCUGGAUCCUCAGCUCCGCAAGAGGUGUCAACAGCAGCUGUGACGAACUGUUCUCAGCAGGUCCCCUACCAAAGCACAGCUGACUGGAGACCUGUCUUCUGGAUGGCAGUCAGAUGAGAACUUCCAGUGUGAUGCUCCCAUCAUUGCCACUACCUCCUUCAAUUUGUCACUGGAACGUUUUAUUAGCUUACUCCUCCCUUUACUGCAGAGAUCAUUGAUGAAAUAAGCAGUAAGAUCAUUUCCAGCACUAACUCUUGAUGUUGAAUUCACAGAAUCACAUACUGUCUGAGCCGGGAAGAGACCGCUGGGUCCUUCUGAUCCAACCCCCUCCCCAGGAUCGGACACCCAGAGCAGAGUGCCCAGGCCCCCGUCCAGCUGAGUUUUGAAGACGUCCAAGCAGGAAACCCCAACAUCUCUCUGGGAAACCAGUAACAGUGCUCUGGCACCAGCACAGUGAAGAAGUGCUUCAAGAAAUGUAGGAAGGAGAUCUUGGGUUCAGGUCCACGGCAGCACUAAGCCGUUGGUGAUGUGCCACGGCUACAUCUUCAGAGAGAUGGGAGAAGCGUCGCCAUUCGCACAGGAACAAAUAUGCUGACUCAGUAAUGGAAGAAUGCUAAAGAAAAUGUAUCCACUUGGAGAUCUUUUUUCUAUAUUCUUUCAUCCUAGAAUUUCAUGGAACGAGAAUAACAUAGUUACUUGUUUGUGUUGAAAUCAAACAUGCUUGUUCUUCACUUGCAAAAAUAGGAAACUUCUUUCAAAGUGACACUCUUCAUGAAAGAAUAGAAGUGUGCAGCUGCUGUAUGACUAAGUGAUUAAAAACCUGAUGGCUAAUUCAUUUUAGGUGAUAUGUUUGCACUCAAGGCCAAGUAUCAUAAAAAUAGCUGCUUAGCUUUUCUUUUUUAAUAUUAAGUAAAACACCAUAGAGUUUUCAGUAGGCUGGCAAGAUUUUCCAUAUCCAGUUUUGCCCAAUUGAAGUCAGGCUACCACAACUAGAAUUGUCUUCUCUCUAAUAUUCCCCUUUUACACAGCCUUCACCCACGUAGUUUUUACUAGACAAAUGGUUUUAAACUACCUGAGGCCAAGGGGAAAGUUCACAACAUUUUAUAAAUCUUGCCUGGAAAAUGCCAAGAUAGAUGGCAUUUUCUUGGCUCGUACACUGUGUGUAGGGAAGUAGAGAGAGUUUAGAGAGUUUAUGAGACUUAAUAGUCUGCUCACCAAAGCGGUAGUAUUUAACUCAUUGAGUGCUAUUUGAGGACUCGACAUGGCUAGAGAAGAAUGUCAUAUUGUUGUUAAUAUUAUUAUUUGUUAUUUUUGUUAUUGAGCUUAGAUGCGUAGAAGACAACCAGAGAUGCUUGAUUUUGGGUUCAGUGUGCUGAUGUACGUUGCUUGUCCUUAUAAUCUAAUUAAAAGAUGAUGUAAAAAAUACGUGGGAAUGAGAACAGAAAGAGGAUGAAGAAGAAAAUAAUUGAAGUAAUACAUGGUGGUUGGAUUAGUUAUUUGCACAAUUAGCUAUUUGAAUUAGCUACUUGACAAGUGAUAUAGAAGAAAGAAUAAAGGGCUAUCUCUGUCAAAGACAGUUUUUAGUGAAGCUGCUACUGUAAGUGUAUUAUGAUUUAAAUAUAAAGAGCUUCAGGUUUCAGUUAAAUGGAUUUUGAUUCUGCUUAUUUUUCUAAUGCUAGAUUUGUUUCAUUUCUGUAUUAAGCUCCUCUUAUUAAACCAUGCAGUGUCUGAUGGAAAUUUCAACCUUUGUUUCAAGUGCAAUGCAGUUUCCUGGGAGCAGACUAAGACAUAACCUAACGAUUUUUUUAAACACUUAUUUGUGCUCAACAAAGAGAUUGAACAUAAAAUCUCAGGAUUUAUUGAAAUACUCUGAGCCGGAGAAACAGGUAUACAAUUAUUUCUAGAUAUUGGAUUGCUUUUCAGCUGACAAACUCAUAACUUUGCUACUGCGUUCUUCUGACAUGCUCAACAGAGGUUUGAUUAUGUCUAUCCCCAUUUAGCUAGGUAGAGUGCCAUCUCCGCUGGGGGAAACAGAGAAAACAGCUACUUGAAAACAAGGAACUAUUAAUAUUUGAUCAAAAUUGAAUUGAUUGUAUGGGAUGAAUAUGAGGUAGGAAAUUGUAGUCGAAUUAAUUUUCACAGCAAAUUGGUCUCAAUUUUUUUGAGAAGGAACCAAAGUGAGUUAUGGACCCAACAGUCCAAUGCAGUCAGAUCCAGGAGACUGGAAUCUUCAAGUCCUUCACACGGCAAGCCACCAGUCUGGAAUGUCUUACCUGACUGAUUUUCCAGAACCACUUCCUUCAAGCUGAAGAGCCAUCUCAACAUGUGGAAAGGCAAGCCUUAGUGGCAGGAGACCUGCAUGGCUGGGCAAUGAAUGGACACAAACAUAAAAAGGAAGAGAGGAAAACGUGGAAGCAGGGCACCCACAUCGUGACUUAAGGUCAUCAAGGGCUGUGAGAUUUGUAUGGAAUACAACAAAAAUAUCAAAUAAAAUUGAGGAACUUAUCU